rnacentral:rRNA from 1 species
UGGGGAAUAUUGGACAAUGGGCGCAAGCCUGAUCCAGCCAUGCCGCGUGGAUGAUGAAGGCCCUAGGGUUGUAAAGUCCUUUCGACGGGGAAGAUAAUGACGGUACCCGUAGAAGAAGCCCCGGCUAACUUCGUGCCAGCAGCCGCGGUAAUACGAAGGGGGCUAGCGUUGCUCGGAAUCACUGGGCGUAAAGCGCACGUAGGCGGACUCUUAAGUCGGUGGUGAAAUCCUGGAGCUCAACUCCAGAACUGCCUUCGAUACUGAGAGUCUUGAGUCCGGGAGAGGUGAGUGGAACUGCGAGUGUAGAGGUGAAAUUCGUAGAUAUUCGCAAGAACACCAGUGGCGAAGGCGGCUCACUGGCCCGGUACUGACGCUGAGGUGCGAAAGCGUGGGGAGCAAACA